rnacentral:rRNA from 1 species
GACGAACCGUGCGAACGUUGUUCGGAAUCACUGGGCUUAAAGGGCGCGUAGGCGGGCCGGCCAGUCUGUGGUGAAAUCCCCCGGCUCAACCGGGGAAUUGCCGUGGAUACUGCCGGCCUCGAGCAGGGUAGGGGCGUCUGGAACGAGCGGUGGAGCGGUGAAAUGCGUUGAUAUCGCUCGGAACUCCGGUGGCGAAGGCGGGACGCUGGACCCUUUCUGACGCUGAGGCGCGAAAGCCAGGGGAGCAAACGGG